CCAGAGAUGGCGGGCCCCCGCGCCCCCGUCCCCAACCCUUUGUUGACCAAACCACUUUUGCCUCGGGGGUGGAGCGGCCUCCGCCGCCCCCGGUGGACCAACCAACUCUGUCUCUUUACGUCGGAGUCUUUGAUAAAUAAAUGA
rnacentral:misc_RNA from 1 species